UUAUUCGGCGCACUCACCUGCACAAAGCUAUCGAACACUUGAAGCUGAAAGCCGAAUCCUUUUGUUCCACUGACAGGCGCCUGGAAAUAGAGCUACAAAUCCACACACACUCACACACACCCAUAGAGACCCGCAUCGAAAAUGCGUUUCCAUUAACUUUUUCGGUUCGAGAUCACCGAAGCGCAUGAAGAUGUCAAAAUGCACUUUUGCCCCCAUUCACGCAAGACGUAAAGUAUUAAGUUGUUCGCUCCAGUACGAGCUACCGAAUAUAAAGUUGCCAGGAAU
ensembl:ncRNA lncRNA:CR44607 long non-coding RNA:CR44607